GGAUAGUUCAGUCAAUAGAGCAUGAGACUAUUACUCUCAGGGUGCUGGGUUCAAGUUCUAUGUUGGACA